GCGCUCAGAGCCCGGGAAAAACCUGAAUGUCGUCAUCCCAGCCCCAGGCUGAAACACAUUAUCGCCUUUCUCAAGUGGCCGAUCAAGGGACUCUGGGCUUAGGCGCGUGACCUGAUUAUUUUGUCACGAAUUGCGCCAUGCGCACGACCCUUCUUUACCAUUUCGGAUAGUGUCUGGAAUGCACGAACAAAACGCCGCUAUUCGGAUAUAACGAUGGAUUAUUUUGGACCAAACCAACAUUUGUUAUUGAAGUAGAAGUCCUGGGAGUGCAUUCUGACGAAGACAACAAAAGUUCGCUACCCGUACAGCAGGUGGCAGCAUGGACAUUAAAUUAGUGCGAGCGCCAUUAUAUCAGAGAAGAAGAAGAAGUAGAGAUGGCCGGACCAUGAGUGACAAGGGGAUGACUUCUUGGAUUAGACACGCCACACAGUUCCUAACACGUGACUUCGACUGCAGUGCUUUCAGAGGAAUCAUGGUAGAGUCAAAGACUUGACAGGAUUCGCUCCAAAAGACUUAGCCAACUGUCAAUCACUUGCCAAACAACCCUCCUAAAUAAUAAUACACUGGAGCACUGUCAGAGUGACCAUCGGGUUCUUCGUCACCUCCCUGACCAAGGCCCUUCCCCCCCGAUUGCUCAGUUUGGCCGGGCGGCCAGCUCUAGGAAGAGUCUUGGUGGUUCCAAGCUUCUUCCAUUUAAGAAUGAUGGAGGCCACUGUUUUCUUGGGGACCUUCAAUGCUGUAGACAUUUUUUGGUACCUUUCCCCAGAUCUGUGCCUCGACACAAUCCUGCCUCGGAUUUCUACGGACAAUUCCUUUUACCUCAUAGCUUGGUUUUUGCUCUGGCAUGCACUGUCAACUGUGGGACCUUAUAUAGACAGGUCUGUGUCUUUCCAAACCAUGUCCAAUCAAUUGAAUUUACCACAGUUGGACUCCAAUCAAGUUGUAGAAACAUCUCAAUUGAAACAGGAUACACCUGAGCUCAAAUUGAAGUCUCAUAGCAAAUGGUCUGAAUACUUACAGUAUGUGAAUAAGGUUUUUCUGUUUGUAAUUUGUAAUACAUUUGCAAACAUUUCAGAAAACCUGUUUUCGCUUUGUCAUUAUGGG
rnacentral:lncRNA from 1 species